CCUACGGGAGGCAGCAGUGAGGAAUAUUGGUCAAUGGACGUGAGUCUGAACCAGCCAAGUAGCGUGAAGGAUGACUGCCCUAUGGGUUGUAAACUUCUUUUAUAUGGGAAUAAAAUGUUCCACGUGUGGUGUUUUGUAUGUACCAUAUGAAUAAGGACCGGCUAACUCCGUGCCAGCAGCCGCGGUAAUACGGAGGAUCCGAGCGUUAUCCGGAUUUAUUGGGUUUAAAGGGAGCGUAGGUGGAUUGUUAAGCCAGUUGUGAAAGUUUGCGGCUCAACCGUAAAAUUGCGGUGGAAACUGGCAGUCUUGAGUACAGUAGAGGUGUGCGGAAUUCGUGGUGUAGCGGUGAAAUGCUUAGAUAUCACGAAGAACUCCGAUUGCGAAGGCAGCUCACGGGAGUGCAACUGACACUGAGGCUCGAAAGUGUGGGUAUCAAACAGGAUUAGAUACCCCUGUAGUC
rnacentral:rRNA from 1 species